GAAUUUGUUGUGUUUACUUUAUGUACAGUGCUCUCAAACUCUGAAAGGGUGUAGUUUGACGAAGCCAAGGAAAUGCGUUCAGUGCAAAGUUUGUUUUGUGAAAGAAAAGCAAGAGUCCAAGCAAGAAGUAUUGAGAAAUAAAUCUGACUUUUCACUUUCAGAAGUAAUAAUCAAUUAAGAGGGAAAGUGUGAUUCGUUUCGAUUGUGAAAUAUUGGAAGUUGAGGAAAAAUAGAGGCAGUGUAAAUGUGUUGAAUAAAAACCAAGUAUAUUUGUGGAAGAACAGGACAAUUAAUCAAGGUGAACAGUGCAUGAAAUUGUGUUCAUAUGCGAAAUUACAUGCAGGUGCAAAUUUAAUUUCCCUCUGAUCAGGGGCCUCUGAUAUUGAACAACGAAUAUAAACAAUCAGCAUCACCACUUUCAACUUCAGCACCAACCUAAUCUGAACAGCAAGCUUCAACGUCGGUUUCACAUGUCCAUCUUCAAGUCUGAACACCACCAAUGGUUAAAAUUCAGAAAUUAUUUUCUACGAAGCGCUUACGACUUCGGUGUCUGUCUUCCGUCCGACCUCCAGGGCAAUAUCGAGGCCGUUUCGGCUGAGGCCAAUCGAAUAUGACAACGCCUCUGCACUAAGGACCUGAAAGUGGAGUGGGUGGAGUAGAACAGUUACCAGAGCUUUCGUUCGUAUUGUUAAGUGCGUGACACUGAUUUUCUCACGAUUUCUUUAUAGCUGAGAUCCUGUCAUCAGACUGGUCCGUGGGAAAGACAUUGAUGUUAUAUCCUAUAGAUGGCCUUUAAAUGAAAUUGAAACAGCUUGAACCACAUUGCAGGUGUAACUGUAUCCUAUUAGUAUGUAGUACAAGCUAGUCGCACCUUCACUUUUUUGAGUCUGGAUUUCCGAAAUGUGAUUAUUCGAUUUCUUCUGAAAGAAUGUCUUUCAGCUCAUCGUUUAUCCUGGACUGUUAUUUCCUGUACAUCGGCAAUGACUUGUAAGAAAGAAAGAAAAUUCUAGGAAAUGUUAGCCUAGCUGUCUGCUGAUUUAAAAUUUUAAAACGCUCUUAGGCUGCCAUAUUCUGAAAAUAAUCCGUAUUUGUUCUGGUAUGUGCAAUUAGGAGGCUCUGUGAUAUUGUAGCAGGUUUCUGGAGAUGCCUUUCAUUGUUAGACUACU